CUGGGCAGUCUCGGUGAGAGCCCGGGAGUGGACAGUCUUGUAGCACUCCUCUGUGAUCAUCCAGGGAGCAGCUAGCCGGCGCCCCUUCGCUCCAAGUGACCGCAGCGUGAGAGAGCUACAGUGGGAUCCAUUAGAACACCUUCCUCCUCCUCCCCCUCCAGAUCCUAUAGACUGUCUUCCAUAGCCUCCUCCUCUAACUCCUCCCACAAAUGGUCUACCUCUUCCUCCUCCAGAACUGUACCCCAAAAUACUGAUACUAGAUGAGGGCGUAAGACAAACUACAACAUCAGUUCCCAUAUGGGUGACAAGAUCGCCUCAACCCUUGGAUGCAAGUUAUCAUGUCACUGUUAUGCCUUCCUCUGUGUCAUCUCCCCUCCCACUAAUAUCCGAAUCUAUGCACUCAAGUUCUCCUUCAGUUUUACAAAGUGCCUCUAGUUCUACGAGUACCGUAACACCAGCCACCAGCACUGCUCAAAGUAUCCCUACCCCAAUUAUGGCUCCUAAAACUUUUCAAUAUCUCCCUCUUUAUUUUUCCCCCAUAUUUCAACCCAUACCUCCAAAUACCUCUUCCCCUGUUUUUGGACCCGGAACAAUAGAAAAUAUUCCCUUUUAUGUAUCCCAUAUACCCCAAUAUCCUAAAAAUCAGAUACAGGAGGAACAUUUAACAACAAGGGGCCGAGAAGAUAAGACAGUUUGCUGCUGCAAAAAUAAGGAGGAAAAUAAAUUAAAAUCUGAAGAUCCAAGAAAAAGAUAGAGCAUUCUCCCACGCAUCUAGCAAUCUGGCCCUAAAAAGGACAGAAGAAACGAGUUGAUGCAAAAGAGAAAGUAAACUCCUGUAACAGUAACUGGUAAGAAUAACAUGUUGAUAAAUAAGAGAGGAAAAAGAAGGAGGCAAGACCGGAUCAAGUUACACUCUUGCCACAAAAACUCGCUGAUUCUCUACAGAGAGGAGACAUGAUUGGGAGAGUGGCCUGUACCAGACCCUCAUUCAUAUAUAUCCUCCUACUUAUGAUCAUCGAUAAAGGAGAGAUGAUACUGUGUGAAAAGUGUUAUUACCCAUUAUAUGCAGGAGAAUCUCGGACUGCUGUCCUCAGAACACACUCUAACCCGAGUCCUAAUUGUGUCAACUUUUUGCCAGUAACAACUUGUAUGGAAAAUGGUAAAACAUAUUGGCUAUUCGAAAAUAUAGGAAAUUUUAAACAGAAAUUGUUGGGAAAAUGCCCUAUGAAGGAGAAGUGGAUCUGUUCUGAAAGAAAACCUAUUGAAGGACAAGUAAAACAUGAGACUUAUGAAACAGAUUUCAUAAAAGAAAAAGAGAUAAAGGGAAUAAUUAAAAAGGGACCAAAAAUCCCAACCCUGGGAGGGAAAAACCUGUUCCUUGAUUUAGCACAGAAAAUGAGUAAUGAAUUUAACAUCUCUAAUUGUUGGAUUUGUGGGGACCCUUGUAUGGCUGAAAUCUGGCCAUGGGAGGGCAUUCCUAUGAGUCGACAGGAUAUACUCAGGAUUUUAGAUAAAGAAGGAUCCAAACGGGACAACAGACCUGAGGAAGAAGUAUGGAACCUGAGGUCCGAUUCCAGUGAGGAAUGUCUUUGGAGAACAUUCAGAAUAUAUCAUGUAUUUGGGUGAGAUCCAUUGCAAAAAUUAUUUAGUUUUAAAUAACACACAUCAGUAGUGGAUCCCUAGGUGUCCACAUUUAUAUUGGUCGAGGUCCAGAAGAUCACAGUGCUCAUAUAUAGAGAGAGAAAAAUUGUAUGAGUGUCCCACAUGAGAGCCCAAUCCAUUCCAGGAUAAACCCCAAACUGCGAAAUUUUGGAAUAAAACCAACUAUAAAUUAGAAAGCCAACCUCAAUUUUGGAGAGCCCCAAAAAGUAUAUAUUGGCUGUGCGGAAAAAUGGCAUAUGUAGUUCUGCCGAGAGGAUGGACUGGGAGUUGUACCUUAGGCAUAAUAAGACUAUCUUUUUUCCUCCUCCCCAGGAUAGAACGGUACCAUUUGGGAGUGCCGCUUUAUGAUGAGUUGGUUCGGAGAAAGACAGACAUAUCUAUAGGGGGCACUCAACAAUGGGGAGAGGAGGAGUGGCCACCAGAAUGUAUUAUUGCCACUUAUGGUCCAGCCACUUGGGCCCAAGGGUCGUCACGAGAACUGUAAUCAACUCCCUCAAGCUCAGCCUUAAAACUGGAGGAAAGGAUAGAAACGCUAAGGACAUUUUAUUACUACAAGAGCAAGAAGUUGAAGCAAACCAAGAGAUAAAGACUGCUGAAUCAGCUAUAGAAAUGUACAAGAGAUACCAAAAAUUAAGACAAUUAUAUACAGUUGAAGAAGAAACUGUUUAAAGAUGGUUUAAAGGACUGAAGAAGAAAACUGUUAAAAGACUGUUUGAAAACUAAAGACUGAAUGUGUUGAUGCGGGCUAAAGCCCAAUCAAAGUUUUAGAGGGGGGAGUUGUCAUGAGUUUGGUCCUAUUAGUUCUGGGGAGAAUGGGGAGUUACUUGUUGUAAAGGGAAAGGGCGUCCAGGACUUGGUGAAGACACGAGAUGAAAGAGGUGAGGAGUGAUUGGGCUAGGGCACCAACCAAUCAUUCGAUGCCCUGAAGGAAUGAUUGGCCCAGAAUGAACCUCACUAAAGACCAAUCAGAGCACCUAGAUUCCACCAGUCAGUGCGCGGAUCCAAACCCCACCAAUCCUGGACCAAAGGGAGUUAUAAAAAGGGGGCUUUUCAGUCAGGCGGGGUUCUUCUUUCUGUUUUGUGAAUGGUGGGAUAGCUUCACAAGGAAGAGAACCCAACGUGUUUGUAGCACGUUGCUAUUUUUGAGCUGUUGUGAGGAGGUUUAAGCUUAUCUUGGAUCCUCCAUUCCUUUCAUCUUGUUUUUAAAUAAACGAGAGCCUUUUUCAA